AUAGAAUGAAAUUGUUUGACAGGGAGAGAGGGGUGGAGGGGGCGGUGGAGGGAAGCGACUGAUUCCAGCAAGAAUCUAAAUUUAAGUUACUUGUUAGGCUGUCGCAAUUGUUGUGUGGUCUGUAGUGUAGUAAAGAGACGUGUGUGCGACGAACCGUCUCGGCAAGCGCAGCAACAGGGCACAGAGCAGGAUGCGACGGGCUGUAAGAGACCAGUGAACAGAGGGAAGCAAUGCUGGCACUGUACACCGCAACGCGGAAAAUAUUAAAGAGAAUACUAGCGGCUAGGGGAGUCUGAAUCUUCGCUAAACAAAAAAAUGUACAUAAUGUAGCAGCGUUCCAGUAUUCGUUCAAUUCAGCUAUCGGUAUAGAAGAGUAUAUAUGGCGAGUUUACUCGCAAGUUAAAUGCAAAGUUGCAGUCACAAUCUCCCUUUCCGACUGAAACAAAAGGAACAGCAGUUCGCCUGCUAGCGUCUUCAUACCAAAGAAGACCGAAGAAGCAAAACUGCGAUAUGAUACGAAGGAGACUUAACCGUUGGCUUGGCCGGGACGAGAGACGGGUGGACAGCAGGACCGUCUACGUGGGACACCGGCCCUGUCCCUCCACGGAGGUCUUCAUCCCGCCAAAAUUUUGCGACAACAGGAUUGUGUCUUCCAAGUAUACCAUUUGGAACUUUCUGCCAAAGAACCUGUUUGAGCAGUUCAGAAGGAUCGCCAAUUUCUACUUCCUGAUCAUAUUCCUGGUGCAGGUGAUAGUGGACACCCCCACCAGUCCUGUCACCAGCGGAUUGCCCUUGUUUUUUGUUAUCACGGUGACUGCUAUCAAACAGGGCUACGAGGACUGGCUGAGGCACAAGGCGGACAACGAGGUGAAUAAGUACCUGGUGACGGUGCUGGAGGACGGGCGGAGCUCGCGAAAGGAGAGCGAGAAGAUCAAGGUGGGCGAUGUGUUGGAGGUGGUGGAGGACGAGACCUUCCCCUGCGACCUGAUCCUGCUGCGGUCCAGCCGCGAUGAUGACACCUGCUUCGUCACCACGGCCAGCCUGGACGGGGAGUCCAACCACAAGACACACUACACAGUGCCCGACACUGAGAGGGAUCUGGACUCGCUCAAUGCCACCAUUGAGUGUGAGCAACCCCAGCCCGACCUCUACAAGUUCGUGGGGCGCAUGCACGUAAACAGGAGCGAUGGGGACCCCGCCGUGCGGUCCCUGGGCCCAGAGAAUUUGCUUCUGAAAGGGGCCACUUUGAAAAACACAAAGAAGAUCUAUGGCGUGGCGGUUUACACCGGCAUGGAGACCAAGAUGGCGCUCAACUACCAGGGGAAGUCCCAGAAGCGCUCGGCUGUGGAAAAGUCGAUCAACGCCUUCCUCCUGGUGUACCUGAGCAUUCUGCUGAGCAAGGCGCUGGUGUGCACCACGCUCAAGUACUGGUGGCAGGGCCGGCCGGGCCAGGACGAGCCCUGGUACAACCACAAGACCCAGAAGGAGAAGGACACUAACCUGUACCUGAAGAUGUUCACCGACUUCCUCUCCUUCAUGGUGCUCUUCAACUUCAUCAUCCCCGUCUCCAUGUACGUUACCGUGGAGAUGCAGAAGUUCCUGGGCUCCUUCUUCAUCGCCUGGGACAAGGACUUCUACGAUCCCGAGAUCCAGGAGGGGGCGCUGGUCAACACCUCUGACCUCAACGAGGAGCUUGGGCAGGUGGAGUAUGUGUUCACGGAUAAGACGGGCACCCUCACGCAGAACAACAUGGAGUUCAUCGAGUGCUGCAUCGACGGCUUCCAGUACAAGUCCCAGGGCCCCCAGUCCGAGGUGGACGGGCUCUGUGUCCCCGACGGGCCCAUCAGCAAACUGCAGCAGAAGGCUGGCAGGGAGAAGGAGGAGCUGUUCCUGCGGGCUCUGUGCCUGUGUCACACGGUGCAGGUGAAGGAGGCGGGGCAGGGGGAGGACGGCCGGGACCAGGUGGACGGGCUGGACCAGGGGGACCAGGGGGACCAGGUGGACGGGCUGGACGGCGGGAACGACGGCCCGCGCGGGGGCGAGCGCUGUGGCUUCAUCGCCUCGUCCCCCGACGAGGUGGCCCUGGUCAAGGGGGCCAUGAAGUAUGGCUUCACUUUCCUGGGGCUGGAGUGUAAACAGAUGAAAAUCAUGAACCGGAAUAACGAUGUGGAAUCGUAUGAGCUGCUUCACGUGUUGAACUUUGACCCCGUGCGGAGACGGAUGAGCGUGAUCGUGAAGUCAAAGACGGGGGAAACGCUGCUGUUCUGCAAGGGCGCCGACUCCUCCAUCUUCCCCCGCGUGAAGCCGGAGGAGGUGGACAGGAUACGCAUGCACGUGGAACGCAACGCCACGGAGGGCUACCGCACGCUGUGCGUGGCCUAUAAGGAGAUGAGCGUGGAGGAGUUCGCUCAGGCCGACGCUGGGCUCAGGGACGCUCGCCUGGCCCUGCAGGACCGGGAGGAGAGGCUCAUGGCCGUCUACAACCAGGUGGAGACCGGCCUGAGCCUGAUAGGAGCCACGGCCGUGGAGGACAGACUGCAGGAGGAGGCGGCCGAGACCAUGGAGGCGCUGCAGGGAGCAGGCAUGAAAGUGUGGGUACUGACGGGGGACAAGAUGGAGACGGCCAAGUCCACGUGCUACGCCUGCCGGCUGUUCCAGCGGGGCACGGAGCUGCUGGAGCUGACGGUGCGCACCCUGGAGGAGGGAGGCCAAAGGCGCGAGGAGCGUCUGCAGGAGCUCCUGCUGGACUACCACAAGAGGACGGUGCAGGACGCCCCACCCGCGAAGGCCGGGGUCACCAGGAGGUGGUCGGCGGCGACGCAGGAGUACGGCUUCAUCGUGGACGGCGCGGCGCUCUCCCUGGUGAUGAACGACGCUAGCGCCCGGCGCUACAAGAGCCUGUUCCUGCAGAUCAGCCAGAGCUGCUCGGCCGUGCUCUGCUGCCGCAUGGCCCCCCUGCAGAAGGCCCAGAUUGUGAAGAUGGUUAAGAACUCCAAAGGGAACCCCAUCACGCUCUCCAUUGGAGACGGAGCCAAUGACGUCAGCAUGAUCCUGGAGGCGCACGUGGGGAUAGGUAUAAAGGGGAAAGAGGGGCGGCAGGCAGUGCGGAACAGCGACUACGCCAUCCCGAAACUCAAGCACCUGAAGAAGCUGUUGCUGGCCCACGGGCACCUGUACUAUGUCCGCAUCGCCCACCUGGUGCAGUACUUCUUCUACAAGAAUCUUUGCUUCAUUUUACCUCAGUUCUUGUUCCAGUUUUUCUGUGGAUAUUCACAGCAGCCCUUGUACGAUGCAGCCUAUCUGACGAUGUACAACAUCUGCUUCACCUCUAUGCCCAUCCUGGCCUACAGCCUCCUGGAGCAGCACAUCAGCAUGGAGAUCCUGCUGGACGAUGCCAGCCUGUACAGGGUGAUAGGGAAGAACGCGAUGCUGCGUUGGGGUCCCUUCCUGUACUGGUCAUUGCUGGGCUUGUUCCACGGUCUGGUCUUCUUCUUCGGAGUGCACUACCUUUUCGGAAACCCCGCACUACAGGACAACGGCCAGGUGUUUGGAAACUGGUCGUUUGGGACCAUAGUUUUUACAGUCCUCGUCUUCACUGUCACCCUUAAGCUGGCUCUGGACACGCGGCACUGGACGUGGAUCAACCACUUUGUCAUCUGGGGCUCCCUGGCCUUCUACGUCUUCUUCAGCUUCUUCUGGGGCGGCAUCAUAUGGCCCUUCCUGAAGCAUCAGCGGCUGUACUUCGUCUUCGCUAACAUGCUGAGCUCGGUGUCGGCCUGGCUGGUCAUCAUCCUGCUCAUCCUGCUGAGUCUGCUCCCCGACAUCCUGUUCGCCGUGCUCCGCCCCCCCCGUGGCCCCCACCCCCGCCAGAUGAAGCAACGUCUUCCUUCCUCUGGGACCUCCACUAUCUUCAUGCUGUCGCAGACCGCCAGCACUCACAGCUUUUCCUGGAGUGACUGAGAAGAAGCCGGCUCAGUCGGGCGUGGGGUCCCCCCAGUCUUCAGCCAGGCCCCUGCUCAUGAGAACCUUUUCAGACGAGUCCAAUACUGUCAAUUGAACAGCCUUCAGAAGACCCUCUCCUACCUGUAGGCAUGUAAAGAUUGCUGAUGUCACGCCGCUGUCGUACAAGAACUUGAACGAGCGGGGGCAAAGGGACUGGAACGAGUGGCUGACAGGACCCCUCGCCUAGGACCCGCCCAUCUUCUGCGCCAGCUGUCUGGGCUGCUGCCUGUUUUU